UAUGGUCAAGCUAGAAAGGGCGCGCGAUGGAUGCCUAGGCGUCGGGAGGCGAUGAAGGACGUGGAUAGCUGCGAUAAGCCUCGGGGAGCCGCUAACAGGCUUUGAUCCGGGGAUCUCCGAAUGGGGCAACCCACUGGGGUUCAUACCCCAGUAUCGUCCGGAACAAUUCAUAACCGGGCGAGGCCAACGAGGGGAAGUGAAACAUCUCAGUACCCUCAGGAAAAGAAAGCAACCGCGAUUCCCUCAGUAGCGGCGAGCGAACGGGGAACAGCCUAAACCGGGUAUACAUGUGGCCCGCAAGCUUAGUAUGCCCGGGGUUGUGGGACAUCGAGGGGCGGGGUUGCGGACCCGCCGGAGGAGGCUGCCUAAUGAGCGGCCUGAUCCGUAGUCGAACGGGAUGGAAAGCCCGGCCAUAGAAGGUGAUAGCCCUGUAGGCGAAACGGUGAAAAUCCUCUGCUCGGUGUUCCCGAGUAGCGUGGGGCACGUGGAACCCUGCGUGAAUCCGGGAGGACCACCUUCCAAGGCUAAAUACUACCCGACGACCGAUAGUGAACCAGUACCGUGAGGGAAAGGUGAAAAGUACCCUUUUGAGGGGAGUGAAAGAGUACCUGAAAUCGCGCGCCUACAAGCAGUGGAAGCCCUAUGGCGGGAGCUUCGGCCCCCGCAACGGGUGACCGCGUACCUUUUGCAUAAUGGGUCAGCGACUUACUCUGCACGGCGAGGUUAAGCCGUAGGGAGACCGAUGGUGGAGCCGUAGCGAAAGCGAGUCUGAACAGGGCGUUGAGUCGUGCGGAGUAGACCCGAAGCCGGGUGAGCUACCCAUGGCCAGGAUGAAGAGUGGGUAAAACCACUUCGGAGGUCCGAACCCAUCGAGGUUGAAAACUCGUGGGAUGAGCUGUGGGUAGGAGUGAAAAGCUAACCGAACUCGGUGAUAGCUGGUUCUCCCCGAAAUAUAUUGAGGUAUAGCCUCGCGAACUCAGCAGCGGAGGUAGAGCACUGGAUGGGCUAGGGGUCUUACCGGAUUACCAAACCCAACCAAACUUCGAAUGCCGCUGACUGCAAUCGCGGGAGUCAGACUACGGGCGAUAAGGUCCGUGGUCGAGAGGGAAACAGCCCAGACCGCCGGCUAAGGUCCCCAAGUGCAUGCUAAGUGGGAAAGGAGGUGGGGGCACACUGACAACCAGGAGGUUGGCUUAGAAGCAGCCAUCCUUUAAAGAAAGCGUAACAGCUCACUGGUCGAUGUGAACCCGCGCCGAAAAUAUAACGGGGCUCAAGCAUGCCACCGAAGCCGCGGGAUCGGUCCGAUCUUCGGAUCGGAUGGAUCGGUAGGGGAGCGUUCCAGCGCCGGUGAAGGCAGACCGAAAGGACUGCUGGAGGCUCUGGAAGUGACUAUGCUGACAUGAGUAGCGAUAAUGCGAGUGAGAAACUCGCACGCCGGAAGCCCAAGGUUUCCUGGGGAAGGGUAAUCCGCCCAGGGUUAGUCGGAUCCUAAGCUGAGGCCGAAAGGCGUAGGCGAUGGGAAGCAGGUCAACAUUCCUGCACCACUGGGGCGCGCGUCGAUGCUGCAAGGGAGGACGGAGAAGGGUAGGUCAGCCUGCCGCUGGUUGCGCAGGUUCAAGCUCGCAGGGGUCGGCAGCGGAUAAUAAACGGCCGGUUCACCCCGAGGAGUGAAGAGGAGGCCUUCGGGCCGCAAACUGAUCGAUCCCAUGCUUCCAAGAAAAGUCCCGCAGUGGAGUGCGCUCCGGUGUCCGUACCGGAAACCGACACAGGUGGGCAGGGCGAGAAUCCCAAGGCGCUUGAGAGAACCGUGGUUAAGGAACUAGGCAAAUUGGC
rnacentral:rRNA from 1 species